rnacentral:rRNA from 1 species
AUUGAACGCUGGCGGCAUGCUUUACACAUGCAAGUCGAACGGUAACAGGGAGCUUGCUCCGCUGACGAGUGGCGAACGGGUGAGUAAUGCGUCGGAACGUGCCGAGUAGUGGGGGAUAACGCAUCGAAAGGUGUGCUAACACCGCAUACGGACUGAGGUUGAAAGUGGGGGACCUUCGGGCCUCACGCUAUUCGAGCGGCCGACGUCUGAUUAGCUAGUUGGUGAGGUAAAGGCUCACCAAGGCGACGAUCAGUAGCGGGUCUGAGAGGAUGAUCCGCCACACUGGGACUGAGACACGGCCCAGACUCCUACGGGAGGCAGCAGUGGGGAAUUUUGGACAAUGGGCGCAAGCCUGAUCCAGCCAUGCCGCGUGUCCGAAGAAGGCCUUCGGGUUGUAAAGGACUUUUGUCCGGGAGCAAAUGCUGGUGGCUAACAUCCACCGGAGCUGAGAGUACCGGAAGAAUAAGCACCGGCUAACUACGUGCCAGCAGCCGCAGUAAAAC